ACAGCAGUAGCCGCGGUAAUACGAAGGGUGCAAGCGUUAAUCGGAAUUACUGGGCGUAAAGCGUGCGUAGGCGGUUUGUUAAGUCUGCUGUGAAAUCCCCGGGCUCAACCUGGGAAUGGCAGUGGAUACUGGCAAGCUAGAGUGUGUCAGAGGAUGGUGGAAUUCCCGGUGUAGCGGUGAAACGCGUAGAGAUCGGGAGGAACAUCAGUGGCGAAGGCGGCCAUCUGGGACAACACUGACGCUGAGGCACGAAAGCGUGGGGAGCAAACAGGAUUAGAUACCCGUGUAGUCCCUGUCUCUUAUAC
rnacentral:rRNA from 1 species